UUGACCAAGCUUUGCUCUACAUCCCCGCCUGCUGUAUCUCCGAACCAGUGUGCUGACAAAUUUGACAAAACAGAAAUCUUUAAGAUUAAAAAAAAAAAAUCCUCUACUUUUUGUAGAAGGAUGAAUGGAUGGAUGGAUAGAUGGAUGGAUGGCUGGAUGGAGGAGGAUGGUGAAGAAGAGACAACCGAUAAGGACCCUGCCUAACAACAAGACUGCAGAAAAAAUCUCCCCGCACAUUGGAUUUCCCGUUCUUACACAACUCAGCUCAAGUAUUACUGCAACAGAUUCAGAGUGUGGUUAUUGACCGAGAGCCCGGCCUGGCUCCCACUGAACUUCGACUGCAGAUGGAUCUGAAGUGGAACAUGAAUGAGCAGAUACGUCUUGGAUGUUUAAGAAAUGAAUUGACUCUCAGGCAUCAGUUUUGCCCAAAGCAGAAUUCAAAAAAAGUUAAACAGUGACGGAAUUGUUAAACAACGAUGGAAUAAUGAUCUUUGUUUUGAAAAGGCGACAGUGAUGGAGGAGGUAAAAGAGGAGCACUCCUUCUGAUUAUAUUACAGACAUAACAGGAUGCAGAAGUCUGUGAUGAGG